GGGGUUGUGGCUCAGUGGCGAGCGCAUGCCUAGCAAGUGUGAGGCAUGGGGUUCGAUUCUCAGCACCG
rnacentral:tRNA from 1 species